GUACUGCCUGAAAAGAGUGUGCGUGCAGCAGUUAACAGCAUGUUGAUGUUUCUAGAGCUUGAAGAUAUGGCAAUCCUAGAGAAGAAGACAAAGAGCAACACUGGAUGGUGGAAUAGCUGUGGGUUCCUGCCCGAAGCAAUGAAUUUCAUUAAUGUGAAACAGCACCAUCCACACCAGAGACAAAUUAAGUGUUACUGCACUUCCAGGAAUGUUGUCCACAUGGAACAAGUCUCAAAUUCAGUGCUCUGGGAGGAAGUCACACUGAUGAGAACCAAGGCUAACAUAUUUUUCUAUGAAGACUAUGUAGAGGUCUUUCGCCUCACAUCUGGUCUCCACAAUGUCUGAAGAAACACAGGUGGGUGCCCAAACCUUCUGUAAACCUUUUUUUUUGUGUGUGUGUGAAAAACAGAUUUUUAAAUGGAUCUAAAUACUCAUGUGUUUUGUGCUCACACAUCUCGAUGUGUAAUAUCUCCUCUAGGACAUUGGAGGUCCUCUGCAUGGAUCUCUGCUCAUGAACAGCUCCUGCUGGUGGAAGGCAUGCAUGGUGGAUCCAAGCAGUGGUCACAUUUCCUUCCCAAAAGGGAACAAUUGUGCACCCACGUACAAGGCCACCUUCUCUUGUUCUUCCUAUUGUCCUGGUCCUGCAAUCACAUCUUCUUUCUUAGGCAUCUUUCAGUCUCAAAAGACCAUGGUAACAUCUCUGUAUGAGUGUCCUCUCCAGAGCAUGAAGCCUAGGUAGAAUAAUAUGGACGAUAGGCUGUUACCCAAGCAGCAAAUCCCCUCUCUCCACGUCACUGAAAUAGUCCAAUGGAAAAGCAAGAGCCAAUACAACUGGUUCCAGCAACGUCGCAGGAGUUGCCAGAACUAGACAAACUGCCUCCAGGACUCCAGCUCUGGAUAGACAAACUGCCUUCAGGACUCCAGCUCCGGAUUUUGCCUCGAGGUUAACUCCUGAAGCCUUUUCCAUCAGUGGAUAUAGCCACAAGGCAGUGGAGGUUUGAAAUCAGAGUUUUCCUUCUUCUAGAUGGGCUGCCUUCCAAGGCUAACAAGCCCACGUACCUGCAAUCACAUAUACUGCACAUUAAAACCAAAGGCAGCCCCAGACGUGGCUUUUCCCAUUAAAUCACUUCUCUUCCUUUUGACACUGGAAAAUACACCUGAUUUCCCAAGUCAUUAUGUCAAGGUUUGAAAUUCUGAAUACAUAUGGUGUUUAGAAUAAUUAAGGGGGCUGUAGAAAAUGGAACCAUGAAUAUGUACAACUGGGCUUCAAAAACAAGGUUUGAACAGCUGUAUACUAAAAGUCGCUGCAAAGCAAUCAGGCAGUUCUUCAGCCAAGUCUAAAGGCAAGGUCAAUGUAAAAUAAUAUUGCCUUGCAAAAGAAGCUCUUUCACAGCAAACACUUGAGUGUGGAGGUAAACAACUGAUAAUAAAACAAAAACAAAUUAGAAGGGAGGGGAAUCC
rnacentral:lncRNA from 1 species